rnacentral:tRNA from 1 species
UAGCUCAGUUGGUAAAGAAUCUGCCUGUGAUGCAGGAGACCCUGGUUCAAUUCCUGG